AUGUCCCAAGAAGGGGGGCUGCCGGAGGGUGCCGAAAGCAGGACCGUCCCGGGGGGGCUCAGCCUGCCCCCGAAGAAGCGGGCGAUGACAGCGAGGAAGGCGCUGCCGGCCCCGGGCAGCCCCAGGCACUGGGGCUCCACACCAGCUCCAGGUGCCUGGGUGCUGCCAGGGGGGCCCGGGGCUGCCUGCCCCUCGCCCCAGCACCCACCCCGCUGUGUGAGGCCGGUGGCUCCUGCGGGCACCCAGCAGCCGUGGGCACGAUGCGCCCUGCCUGGGCACACGAGGGACCCCGGCUCCACCACAGGCACUGCUGAUGGGGCAGCAGGGGGCUGCCCGCAGCCCCCGGGCAUGGCCACCACCUGCAGAAGGGGCUGGGGCACCCCCCGAGGCUGUCCCGGGGCCAGGAGCUGCCUGCACGCCCCAGCCUGGAUGUCCCCCAGCAGGCAGCACGGGGACAGGCAGGACAUGGGGGUAGGGGUGGUGGGGGCCCUGCCGGGGCUCUGGUCUGCAGCCAGCCCGGUGGCACCAACUGGGGCUGGGAGCGCAGGGGGCACAGAGCUGGGCGGGGGGCUCCCCCCGGUAACCCCAUUGCCCACAGGCAGCAUCCCCAGGGCACAGGUGUAUUACGGACUGGCAGUGGGUACGGGCGAGCUGAGCAGGGCAGCUGCCAGCCUGCACGAUGCCAGCGUCCCCCCACCCACACCAACCCCCUCGGAGCCCCCCAGCCCCUCACCUCCACCUUACACCAGUGCUGCCCCUCCGCAGCCCCCUCCCAGGGCGACUUCCCCGCAGGGGACAGGCGAGGAGCCUGCUGACACGGGGACCGUCCCCACGACGCCCACCCCGGCGCCUGCCCACGUUUCCACCUCCCCAGGGCUGACCCCCACAGCACCGUCCCACGCGUUGCUCUACUCCCAGCCGCUCUGCCCCGCGGUCGCGUACCGGCAGUGCCGAGCCCCGGCCGGCACCGGGGGGCUCUGGGCCAUGCUGCUGCCCACGGCCAGCACGGCCUUCGUGCUGCCCCACUUCCAGCGGGGCUCCCUGGCGGUGCUGCCCGGCGGCGAGCAGAGGAAGGUGGAGGAGCUGCGGGAGGAGGAUUUCCUGCGGUGCGCGGCGGCCGGCACCGAGCUACGCAUCAGCUCGUGCGUGGUGCGGGGCAUCCGGAGGAGCUCGCACGCCGGCUUCGCCUCCCUGCGGGUCUGCCUCGGGGAGCAGGACGGGCAGGUGCGUGAGGGGCUGUCCUCGGGAAGGGGAUCCCCACACCCCCAAACGCACGGGGGCCGUCACAGUGCAGGCACUGACAUGAGCAGCCAUCCCCUGCGCUCUCAUCACCCAAAGGAGCUGCCUGGGCUUUGCAAAUAUUUUUCCCCAAAAGCUCUGCGCCUCCAGGAGCUGGCGGUGAGGGCUGCCAGGUGCAGGGAAGCGGGCAAGGACAUCAGUCCUGCUCUGCGUGGAGGGAGCGGGGCCGCGGGGGGAGGCAGGCCAGGCUGCAUGGUCCCACCUACAUGUCCCCACCGGAUCACCAGCCCCAUCCUUAGGGGACCCUUCCAAGCAUCAGCCCCAGAGAGCUGA
ensembl:lncRNA